ACGUAGGGGGCGAGCGUUAUUCGGAAUUACUGGGUGUAAAGGGUAUGUAGGCGGCCCUUCAAGUCGCGUGUCAAAGUCCAGUGCUCAACUCUGGGUGUGCACGCGAUACUGACGGACUUGAGGGCUGGAGAGGAGAGCGGAAUUCCCGGUGGAGGGGUGAAAUGCGUAGAUAUCGGGAGGAACACCAGCGGCGAAGGCGGCUCACUAGACAGUUUCUGACGCUAAGGCACGAAAGCGUGGGGAGCAAACAG
rnacentral:rRNA from 1 species